GCUUGCUGUAGAGGCAGGCGCCGGGUGUGUCGCGGCAGUGCAGCGGCCGCGAAGGGGUGUUUUGCUGUAUGUCAUAUUCCUCGUUUCGCCAGAGCGGGGGUCCCGAGCUUCGGGCGCGGGACGCGGGGGUGCUCCGAGGCUGCGAGUGGAGGCGUGACGUGACGUCCCUGGCAAGAGGCGCGCGGAGUCAGGCCUUACUUAGAACGUGUUCCCGCCGCACAGCUACCAGCGGGCGCGACCGCUACCCACGCAUGGUGCGGUCGAGUAAACGGCACCGCCUGGCGAGCGAGAGACGCAAAGGGACAUAGCCCCCUAGGAGCUGAGCUCUUCGGGGGUAAAGCGUUCUCACGUUGAUGAGACCAGGAGGCGGCGCACGCCUGGCUCCGCGGCCCAGGGGUUGCAGGUGCCCCAGGGUUCGCGGGGCGCAGACGCCGCAGAGGGCGACGCCCUGCCCGGGUCCCGCGCGGACCCGGGGGACGCAGGGUCUGACACGGAGUGCGGAGGGGCCCCAGACACGCAGUCCAUGUCCCUUGAAACCAGAGGCACGCGCGGCCACGCGCUAGGCCUUUCCCUUAAGCCUGUGACCAAGAUCUCCGGGACUCCCAGCGUUGGGACGGGCGCGCUGGCCCACGCCCAAGCGGGAGGAUCGCUUGCGCCCAGGAGAUUGAGACCAGCCUGAGCACCAAAGCGAGACCUCGUCUCUACAAAAAAUAAGACUCAAGAAGACACCCAGGGUGAAUCGCCCGUCUGCAGCCAGCCUCCCGAGCACCGUGGCCGCGUCUGACAACUGACCUCUGUGUCUGGGUGUCCCUGUCCUCAGAGGGACACGGGACCUCAGAAAGGACCACAGCCCGGCGGCAGGCAUGAUGGUGGGAAAGCUAGUUAGGACAGGUGAGGCACUAAAUUUAGCCUGUCAUAAUUUGUAUCAGGGAAAUGAUGAACUUGUAUUUUUACACACCAUGGGCACCAACACAAGAUAUGGUUUCGUAAGCAGCUUUGGCAAGAACCAAAGGAACGGAACCUCUGCUUCCAAGUGUACGGUCAGGAGCAGCGUGUUAAUUAAGUGAGUCAUCUUCCGUGGCAGAAUCCCAGGGUACAUGGGACCAGACUUCGCGAGGCUGGCAUUAGGAAAAGGAAUGUGAGGGAUCCUCCUCCCCAAACCGUAUUCUCAUUUUCUUAAUACACAAAAGAAUUUCUCAAAAAACAGUAAACGAACAGCAACCCGAUAGAAAAACGAGGAAAGAAUAUGAAUAAGCAGCUCCAGAAGAGGAAAUUCAGGUGGCCGGUAAACACAUGAAAAAGAUGCUCAUCUUCACUGGUCACCAGGAAAAUGUCCCAAACCUGCAAGCAACCCAAGUACUCAUCAGCAGGUGAAUAAACAAACUGGCACAUCCACACUGCGGAACACGGCUCAACCCCCAGGAGGACCCGGCGCGGAGCCCGGCUCAACCCUGAAGAGGAUUUCACUACUGACACACACGACAUCACAGGUGACUCUGGGAGCAAUCAGGUUCAGUGAGAGAAGCCGGACAAAAAAGAGUGCGUACCUUAUGACUCCACUUACAUAAAAUCCUAGAAAAUACAAACACCAGGCAGGCGCGGUGGCUCACCGCUGUAAUCCCCGCACUUCGGGAGGCCGAGGCAGGCACAUCACUUGAAGUCAGGAAUAUGAGACCCGCCUGGCCAACAUGGCAAAACCCCAUCUCUACUAAAAAUACAAAAAUUACCCUGGCGUGGUGGCACACGCCUGUAGUCCCAGCUACUCGGGAGGCUGAGGCAACCUGGGAGGCAGAGAUUUCAGUGAGCUGAGAUCACACCACGGCACUCCAGCCUGGGUGACAGAGACUCCAUCUCAAAAAAUAAAAAUAAAAAACAUAAAUAGCAACAGAGAGCAAAUCAGCAGUCGCUUGGGAAAUAAGGGGUAGGGAUGGGUGAGAGGGAGGGAUUACCAGGUACACGUGCAGCCUGGAUAGUGCUGAGGGCUUCACGACGUAGACGCAUCAGCCUCAUCAAAUUACACACUCUACCUAUGUGCGGUUUGCCUUGUGUCAACUGUGUAUCCAUAAAGCUAUCAACAAAAACUGCCUGCAAACUAUUUUUAACUGACAACUUUUUUUUUUUUUUGGGAUGGAGUCUCGCUCUGUUGCCCAGGCUGGAGUGCACUGGCGCGAUCUUGGCUCACUGCAACCUACGCCUCCUGGGUUCAAGCGAUCCUCCUGCCUCAGCCUCCUGAGUAGCUGGGACUACAGGUGUCCACCACCACGCCCGACUAAUUUUUGUAUUGUUAGUAGAGAUGGAGUUUCACCAUGUUGGUCAGGCUGGUCGCGAACUCCUGACCUCAAGUGAUCCACCGCCUUGGCCUCCAAAAGUGCUGGAAUUAUAGGUAUGAGCCACUGCACCUGGCCAGACAACUGU
rnacentral:lncRNA from 1 species